CUCUCCCUAGCAUUGUCAUUUUUGUUCAGGUCAAGUUCGCACAAAAUUACUCUAACAUUGUUGUUUUUAUUCAGGUAUAUGUAUAUAUAUAUUUUAAAAUUAAAAAACCUAGUUGAAAAAUAUUGGAUUGAAUCGAGAAAGUAUUCUCAUUUUCACGCUUAUUUGAAUCAUUUGAGUUCUAAUCUCUGUCGUGGAGUUCCUAGGUUAGAAAUCAUUUGUUUAACUGAUAUGGUAGAGUGAUGGAUUUGCCGAGCAUGAUAUUUUUUAUCUAGUUUUGUUGUUAGGUAUAAUUUUUUAUUUAUAUGAUCAAAGAUCAAAUUUGGUAUUGGUAUUGUCAAUAUAUUGUUGUGUCAAAUUGAUAGCUAAGAACAAUUUGUGCUUUAUCAAUUUAAUGUUUAAAAUUUAAAAAGGUGAGAAAUUGUGGCAACUUAUUAGCUAGAUUGAGGGGUGAGGGAUGAGCAAUUCUUGCUUUGGAUUAAUUUAAUGUUUGAUUAGAUGUGGACUGUGUGGAGUGUGUAUUAUCAGUGAUGAUAAUAUAAUGAAGUUCAAUUUCUUGUAGUCUUGCAGUUGUAUUGUGAGUGAUGAUAAUAAUAACAAUAAUAAUAAUGUUUGUUUGUUCUAUUGACUUGGAUAAAUUGAGACAAUAUUUUGAUUUGGAUAUGAUUACUUUAUUAGUACAUUGAUUCCUUUCCAAAUUUCUUUGGAAAUGAUUUCUAGCAUUCUAUUCUGGAUUAUUUUAGCUAGCAUGACCAUUUUUCCAGUAAAUAUUUAAUAUUUCUUCUGUGAUUUUGUAUGUGCAAAUUGUCAUAACGUGGAUAAAAGACUUAUGCAUUGUGAAAUUUUUAAUACGGGAUUUCGUUCUAUGUAAUAUAUAUUUACAUAAAUUUUUGAGUAACAAUAUCUGCACACAAAAAGUAAAAGUUUAACAUUUCUUAUAAAAUAAUACAUAUAUAUAUAUAUUUCCUUACUUUUUAAGAACUAUGGAAGGUUUGAAAAAAUUGCAGGUUACUACUAAAUAUUUUAAGCUUUCAAGGGGAAAUCAUGAAGAAAAAAUAAAGAUAGCUACUGAGUUUCGUCGACCCUUACCCUGCACCUGAAACAAAAAUCCCAAGAUGAAACAAACAAGACGUCAGUAAAAGUAGUGCUCGACGACUCAAGUAUUUGUCUUGCUGCACACGGUGUGAGUGCUCUACGAGAAGUAUGAAGACCAUGUGGACUCAUUUGGUGAGAAGGCAUUAGUCGAGUUUAAGAAGCAAUGUGCAGUUUUUGACGCCAAGGUGCUCAUUGAGUUCGAAAUGUUUCUCUAGAGAAGCUCUGCCAACAUGAGUUUGUAUUGGCCAAGGCAUCAAAGGCUGGUCUUGGGUAUGAAAUGUACAAGAUUUUAAGUGCCGCAGCAUUGAGUUUAAUGUUGAAUCGGUCUCUGAUCAUUGGGCAAACCAGGCAUAUUGGUUCUUUCUCAAGCCUUUCUUUCCUUUUCUAUUUUUGUUAUUAUUGUCUUCUUAUGGAAGAAGUAAGAAUUUCAGCUUGAAAUCUUAUAGACAGAUUAUGUGAUGCUUUUAUAAAGAUAAAACUUGUUUGAAUAUAUAGUGAUUAAACAUGUACAAAUGCUAGUUCUUGCAUGGCUUCAAACCCGAGAGAGUAUUUCUUGGCAUUUUUCUUUGUUUUAAUAGUUAGAUUUGGAUUUUUAUUUUUUGGUGUAUUAAUAAAUGUUUAUAUCGUUUAUCUGAUAUUGUAUUAUUUUUCAUUAA